UAACACGUAUGAGGCAAGCGUUAUCCGGAAUUACUGGGCGUAAAGGGCGUGUAGGCGGCCCCUUAAGUUGGCAGUGAAAGCUCCCGGCUCAACCGGGAGAGGCCUGUCAAUACUGGGGGGCUAGAGGGCAGCAGAGGAAAGUGGAAUUCCCGGUGUAGCGGUGACAUGCGUAGAUAUCGGGAGGAACACCAGUGGCGAAGGCGGCUUUCUGGGCUGUACCUGACGCUGAGGCGCGAAAGCGUGGGGAGCGAAGUGGAUUAGAUACCCACGUAGUCCACGCCGUAAACGGUGGAUACUAGGUAUAGGGAGUAUCGACCCUCUCUGUGCCGAAGCUAACGCCUUAAGUAUCCCGCCUGGGGACUGCGGUCGCAAGACUA
rnacentral:rRNA from 1 species